rnacentral:lncRNA from 1 species
AAGCUACCGACGAGGCGCUCUAACUAGACAUAACAAACAUAAGUUGGUCACCUUUCAUUGAUAAGAUCAAGCAGACAGAACUAUCUCACAUAGGUUGUCAGAUACAAAGAUUACUUAUGUUUCGACAAACGCAACAGCUCAGCCUAACGGUGCACCGAGGGCAGAUGAGUACCAAAAAGACACACCAGCCCAACUACCAAGAAUUAGGGCCAAGCUUUGUUCUCAACACUCUAGACGAUUCAAUACUGAAACCGCACAUUACCAAUAGCCAAGAAUCACGGACCAAGUGGUCCAAUUCCACCCGCUGCGCACAAUGUGGCCCAAACCAGCCCUAGCUUUGCACUCACAGAUGUGCCUACCUGCUCCACAACUCUCGGCAGCCCUUAAUCUGUCACCAUGGCUUCUAACUGUGUCGAUCUUGUACCACAACUCCUAGGUGGGCCGAUCUUGCCCUGUGGCUCGUGCCGAGCAAGCCCAUGGCACUCCAAACUUUAAAGCAUCCAAUGAUGGAGUAUAGGACAAAGCUUUAUUAGUAGCCCUUGCUAGUGAGACUUAGUGGUGAAGAAACUUGCAAUCCAUUCAGUUUCUUAGCUGAUCACCAACCAAGCCUCAAAAGGGCACACGACGAAACAUCUAACGAUGGCGCAAUACUUGAAGAAAGUUCGGUAGCAGCUCGAUACACUUCCCACUUACACCCUUACGUGAGUUCCACAAGCAGUUCAAAGUCUUAAGCAUAUCGCCAAACAAUACCUCGUAGGCUGAGGAUUAUUGCAGUUGUCCAGCUUUCCUCAGCUGCACUCACAACAAAAACUUCCAUACUCUCUAGUGCGAGAGGGUAAACCAAUUCCCCAACACCCAUCAUCUAGGUCUGCUUUCUAGUGCGAGAGGAUAAACUAAUUGUUCUCCAGUGCGAGAGGGUAAAUCAAUUCCCGGACACCCAUAUGGGUAAGCUCUCCAGUGCGAGAAGAUAAACUAAUUGCUCUCCAGUGCGAGAGGGUAAAAUAAUUCCCCGACACCCAUAUAGGUCUAUUUUCCAAUGCAAGAGGUUAAACUAAUUGCUCUCUAGUGCGAAAGGGUAAACCAAUUCCCUGACACCCAUAUAGGUAAGCUCUCCUAUGUGAUAGGGUAAACAAAUCGUUCUCUAGUGCAAAAGGGUAAACCAAUUGUUCUCCAGUACAAGAGGGUAAACCAAUUGUUCUCCAGUGCGAGAGGGUAAACCAAUUGCCCUCCAGUGCGAGAAAGUAAACUAAUUCUCCCUAACAUCUAUCUGGUAAGCUCUCCAAUUUGAGAAUGCCACAUAGCUCAAAGGAUCGAAGGCUUGAAGACCAACUAGGCAACGAAUGGUCAGGGGGCAGUAAUCAUUUUGCACUUAACAGUUCACUCAUCCGACACUUCAUCUUCAGCAGCUCCGAUCUUGGCAGCUGCAUCCUUGACUGCUCCAUCUACGGCAGC